rnacentral:rRNA from 1 species
GACCAGACUCCUACGGGAGGCAGCAGUGGGGAAUAUUGCACAAUGGGGGAAACCCUGAUGCAGCGACGCCGCGUGAGUGAAGAAGUAUUUCGGUAUGUAAAGCUCUAUCAGCAGGGAAGAAAAUGACGGUACCUGACUAAGAAGCCCCGGCUAACUACGUGCCAGCAGCCGCGGUAAUACGUAGGGGGCAAGCGUUAUCCGGAUUUACUGGGUGUAAAGGGAGCGUAGACGGCAUGGCAAGUCAGAUGUGAAAGCCCGGGGCUCAACCCCGGGACUGCAUUUGAAACUGUCAGGCUGGAGUGCAGGAGAGGUAAGUGGAAUUCCUAGUGUAGCGGUGAAAUGCGUAGAUAUUAGGAGGAACACCAGUGGCGAAGGCGGCUUACUGGACUGUAACUGACGUUGAGGCUCGAAAGCGUGGGGAGCAAACAGGAUUAGAUACCCCCGUACG